ensembl:lncRNA
CUCGUCGGGAGCCGCGGGCGGGGCCCGCCCCAAAGCCUCUUAAGCUCCUCCGGAGGCUGCCGGGAGCCACGGGGGAGUUUCUGCGGUUGUGGAUAGGAGACGGAGUGAGUUCUGUUUCUUUGUCGGGCCCUGACGCUGCUGAGGCUGAGAAGCGGCUGCUGUGAGACCUUUCGCGGUAAGGACCAGCCCAAACAGGUGAGCGGUUCGAGUAGUAAGGGGACGGUGAGCGCUCGGGAGCCGCCAGGAUCUCCGGAGCAGGCGGCUGUCGGACCCCGCUCUUCUCGGGGCCGGCGUUAGGUCGCCGCCGGGCUCCCCCGGCUGUGCGGAGCCGAUACGGCAUCGCCGCCGUCGCCCGGCCGCCGUCGCAUUCUUGGAGGCGGCUGCCGCUCAGACCCCCGAGUUCUCGCGCAGCCCCGGGGUGCUCUCAGCCCCCCCCAUCCUCGGGAUUUCUUUCAGCGGGUGCUUCAGUUCUUCAGGCUCUCCUCGGUAGGAGCGAACGCGAUGGGGCCGUAUUCGUGCAGCCUCUGUGCUGCCGGGAGAGGGAAGCGAAGCGAAGGGUUGUUGAAACAAAAGGUUUCUCGUGUUGCAGGCUGAGCGAGGGCUGCAGCAGAGGCUCUCAUCGGCCCGAAGCAGUGAGCUCGUGGAAGCGGUGAGUGUUUGAGAGUCGCUCGGUAAGAUCUCUCGUGUUGGGGCUCCUGUAGGGUUGCUGCUCGACUGCCUCUGUCUUUGGGAUCGGCACGGCGCCGCCGCUGGGCUCCCGUGUGGCUUUUUAGUAGGACCGGCACGGGGCCUCCGCCCGAGACCGAGCACGAUCCCGGGGUGGCCUCGGCCACUGCGGAGUGUUUUGCGGGUGCUCUCACCCAUCCCGUUUCCAGCGGUGGGAGCGAGCAGGUUGGGACCGUGGUUUUUUUUUUUCCCGCCUCUUCCUUCCCGUGUAACUGCAGGAGCACGAUUUAGGUUCCCAUCGUGGAGACCUGGCAGGGCAGCUCGCACGACUGGAGUGCUGUCGUGGAUGGCUCUGUUCUUUUUAGGAAAGACAGACCGGCCAGGCGGUGGAGUCUCUCUUCGAGGGAGAGAACGGGAACGUAUCGAGCUCCACCUAGGGGUGAAUGAAGAACCAGCGGAGCGUUUGUGCGUGAGGCUGAAGAGGCAGGUAAAAGUGGGUAACAUGAGUGGUGGUGUUGGUCACAGACCAGGGUGAGGAAGCUGAUAGACCUUCUGCACACAGCUGGAAAUGGUGCCCACAGCUGUGAGGCUAGUUCUCAUGGUAGGCUCCAGGAGUUUCCUGCAAUGUGUCAAAGGUAAGAUCUUCUGACACAGGUGAUGAAGGAGGCAUUGAGGAGAGGGGCUGCUGGAGCUCCCUAUUGCAGAAGAGCCAUUUGGGGACAGGAAGGCCAGGGGCAGCCUGGAGCGUGCCAGUCGUGAGACCACAGUGUUUGGGAUCUUGUGUGGAAGCUGCAAAGCAAUGAGUAGGAUUGAAACACUGGACUUGGAGGGAGCCAAGUUUGUCCUCUUGAAGGGCCUACUUGGAGGUAACCCUUGCUCAAGCAUAGGAAGGGGUCCUGUGAAUGCUGGAGCAUUACUUCGUCCAUGCUGAGGUGCGCUGCGUCCCAAGGAGGAAGGAACUGCGCCGGAAUGGUGGGGGACCUGCAGGGCUGACUGAGGAACUUGAAGGGGAGAAGGAAGAGAGAGGCUGAGGAAGGCCAAGUCCCUCUGAGUAUCAGCUUUGGGAGGGAGGUCAAGGCUAAUGGAAGUUUGUCAACAGGAGAGACUGGAGAAAUUGCAGGCCUGUGCUUUACAAGGCGGAGGCCUCUUGGGUUUCAGUGGUUUCUGCUGAGAGUGCUCCUGGGGAACCUGGGGUCCUGGAGGAGAGAGUCCCUGAGGAAGGAUGUCUUCCCCUCAGUUGCGGAGGAGCUGGUCAAAGGUAGUUCAGGCAGAAAGGAGGCCAGCAAAUCUCUGAGCUGUAGAGGGCUAUGUCUGUGCCCGCUGAGAGCUGGCAGCGGUGACUGGCAAUAGCUCUCUGUCACUUUUUCCCUGCUGUUUCCUGUGGGAAAGGUACCUGAAGACUGGAGGAUGGCGGAUGCCACCGCAGCCUUCAGAAAGGGUGUGGAGGAUGGCGUGUGCAACUUGGAGGUAGGUUGGCCUCAUGUCUGUUCCUGGGGAGGUGACGCAACAGCUUGUUGCAGGUGUCAUUGCCAUGUGACUGGAGGAGAAGGUAUUUGCAAGGAGCAGUCCAGGUGGAUGGACAGAGGAGAAGUCAUGCCGGACCAAAAGGGUGAAGGCUGCAGAGAGGAUUGGCUGGAGCAGGUGUGCAGUUUUCCCAGUGGUGGGAUGAAGGAGGUGAGAGAGGGGGAGCCCCAGGCGGGAGCCCUCGUGGUGGAGGGCUGCCCCCAGGAGCGCCCCCUUGGAGGUGGUUGAUGGAGGUCUCUGUGCAGGUUCAGGCUGGAGGCAGGAUCCUGGUGGUGUGAGUGGGGCGCCCCUGUGGAGCAAGGGUGGAAGGUGUGUGGCAGGUCCUGUCCCGGAGGAGUGGAGUUAAGGGUCCUGGCGUGGCUGUUUUCCUGCAUGGAAGAUGGAGAUCCUGGGAGCUGUGAUGAGGAGGAGCAGAGCCAGCAGAGAUGUCUCUUCCCUGGGUGCUGGAGUGGCUCCUGUGUGGCAAUGGCUGCUUUGUGUGGUGCUCCUGGGCUGAAAAGAGGAGGAGAAAAAAGUUUUUAGUGUUGUUCUUCAAAGCUCAGCUGAAUUUCUGCACGGCAGCCUUUCUCGAAUGCAGUAGGGCUUCCCUGGCUUGAAGAUGGGUGUGCUGUCCUGAGGGAGGAGCAGUGUUGACUGUCUUACAGUGACCUUCUGCUUUCCUUUAAGAAGAGUCCACUAAGAACUGUAUUGGGUUUUUCAGUAGGUAACUCAGGAGAGGGCUUCUCGGUGAAAUCCUUUGUGUUGAAUUGCAGUAAGUUGAGUAUGUGAACCUUCCUCCCAAACUGAGACCGAACGCCAGCAAAAAUGCCAAAUAUGUUGUCCUGUUUCCCUUUAUAACAAAAGAUGUGGUACUUUGCUGGGGUUGCGCCUUUGUGUUCAAUGUUUGUAUGCAGUAUAUUGUAUCCUCAUGUGGGAGUCUGCCAUUAUUAACUGCACUGUUAAUAACUGUUAUUAUUAAUAUAAUAUAUUAAUAUAAACUGUAAAUUAAUAAUAAAAACUGUAAUUAUUAUUAAUAAAUUUACAGUUUAUAAUCCAGUUGUGCUGUGAUAGAAGUUCAGCAGCUGGAUAAUGCAGGAUAGAAAAUGGAGUUGACAGAGAUGCAAAACAACUCUCCUACUGCCUUGACUUGAACUGUGUCUCAGUGUGCUAUUACACUGACUCAUUAGUGCAAGCAGAUGUGUACCAUGAGGAAGGGCUGUUUUCUGAUGUGGGAUUUAGUUCUUGGGCCCGCUUUCCUGACAAGGGUUUUCUUUACCUACUCCCAUGGAUGAUAAAUGCUUUGAACUAGACCAGAGGAUAAGACUUCCUCCUUUUCUAACCCAGGCUUUCUCUUGAGCAGGAGGCUGUCACUGGAACACACAGGAACAGUCAGAGCAAUUACUGAAUUGGACUGUCUGAGCUGAAAGUUGAUGGUGCAUCCCUCUGGUAGAGGGAAUGCAAAAAAGAGAGGUCUUGAAUCAGUAGUGAGUUUAUUGCUGAAGAGCAAAGAUUCGUAUCUCACCCUAAGCUGGGUGUUUUUCACUGCCACACGCCCAGUCAUUUCACUAUACCCAUGUUCUGCCUGGUACCACUCUGACUACCUUCUACCACUAACAACCAGAAUGGCUGAGCAAGGAGUACUGUUUGCAGCUAGGAAGCCAAAAACAGCCAAAAACCCUUCUGUUGCUUCCUUCUGUGUUCUGUGGGGGUGCACAGUCAGAAGAGAGCUUCCACCAUGCAUACCAGUCCUUAUAAAGUAUCUUUCCUUAUGAACACCAGUACGGACUCCCUUUCACUGUCUCUUUUAGCUGGAGACCUGGGCUGUGCAUCUGUGUUCCUCCAUCUACAAUGAGAAGAAAGGGUUUGUUUUUUUUAAUUUCAUUGUUGUAACAAAUAAAAAUCAAGGGAGCUUGGCAACUGUGUUUGACUGUGAGUGGUUCUAGAAGUCUGACCUUUAUUCUUCUGUCAUUCAUAUUGAACACUGAUCCCUAGGUGCACAGUGCAUGAGGAAGCUCUAACCUUCUCCAGUUUCUACACUCACUUGAAGUAAUUAUGGCCAUAGUCAUUUCCCUUCCACAUCAACAUUGGUUACUGUACUGAGCAGAUAAAUCCCUUCCCCCAAACCUAUGAGGCUGCAUGACAAACCAUGGGGACUCCAUGUGGAAAUAACAGUAAAAAAAAGCCAUCCAGGGCUAAGAGGAGGUCUUUCAAACUUGAUGUGAUAUGUCUGUUCCUCAGGGGUUCAUAUGGUCUCGUGUACUUGACACUGCAAAAAAACAGUAGCAGAAGCAGUGAAACUAGGGAAAGAGGAAGGUUUCAGAUAUCACCUUGUAAAGCUCAUUGCUCACAGCAUAAGCUCUUCAGACUACCUCGACACACGGGCCUUGGAGAAGUCAGGCACAAGCGCUUAUCCUUCUAAAUGCCUUUCCCAAGAGCUGAGACCCCACAAACUUCACACGCCUAGCAAAAGCGCACAGGAAUGGGUCUCCAAGGAGGAAAAGCGAGCUCGCCUGUCAGUACUGCCAGGGAAGACAGUGGUGGAGACUGUUGGGCUGAUGUCCUCUUGUGUUGUUUUUAAUGCUAGUCCGCUAAAGUAGGAUGAUCAAAC